UUACCCAAUCCCGAUUCGGGGAGGUAGUGACAAUAAAUACUGAUACAGGGCCCUUUUGGGUCUUGUAAUUGAAAUGAGUACAAUGUAAAUACCUUAACGAGGAACAAUUGGAGGGCAAGUCUGGUGCCAGCAGCCGCGGUAAUUCCAGCUCCAAUAGCGUAUAUUAAAGUUGUUGCAGUUAAAAAGCUCGUAGUUGAACCUUGGGUUUGGCUGCUCGGUCCGCCUAACCGCGUGAACUGAUGCGGCCGGAUCUUUCCUUCUGGCCAACCUCAUGCCCUUUAUUGGGUGUGCUGGGGAUCCAGGACUUUUACUUUGAAAAAAUUAGAGUGUUCAAAGCAGGCCUUUGCUCGAAUACAUUAGCAUGGAAUAAUAGAAUAGGACGGAGGUUCUAUUUUGUUGGUUUCUAGAGCCACCGUAAUGAUUAAUAGGGACAGUCGGGGGCAUCAGUAUUCAAUUGUCAGAGGUGAAAUUCUUGGAUUUAUUGAAGACUAACUACUGCGAAAGCAUUUGCCAAGGAUGUUUUCAUUAAUC
rnacentral:rRNA from 1 species